rnacentral:rRNA from 1 species
UAAUCAAGCCCGGAGAUAGCUGGUUCUCCCCGAAAGCUAUUUAGGUAGCGCCUCAUGUAUCACUGUAGGGGGUAGAGCACUGUUUCGGCUAGGGGGUCAUCCCGACUUACCAAACCGAUGCAAACUCCGAAUACCAAUGAGUACUAUCCGGGAGACAGACUGCGGGUGCUAACGUCCGUAGUCAAGAGGAAAACAAUCCAGACCGCCAGCUAAGGCCCCAAAAUUAUAGUUAAGUGGGAAACGAUGUGGGAAGGCAUAGACAGCUAGG